rnacentral:tRNA from 1 species
UGGCUCAGUUGGUAGAGCAUGGUGUUUGCAUGGUUGUUUGCAACGCUAGCAUUGUGUGUGCAACGCCAGGGUUGUGGGUUCGAUUCCCAC